GACGAACGCUGGCGGCGUGCCUAAUACGUGCAAGUCGAGCGGAUGAAGGGGAGCUUGCUCUUCGGAUUCAGCGGCGGACGGGUGAGUAACACGUGGGCAACCUGCCUGUAAGACUGGGAUAACUCCGGGAAACCGGGGCUAAUACCGGAUAACUUCUUUCUUCGCAUGAAGAGAGGUUGAAAGACGGUUUAUGCUGUCACUUACAGAUGGGCCCGCGGCGCAUUAGCUAGUUGGUGGGGUAACGGCCUACCAAGGCGACGAUGCGUAGCCGACCUGAGAGGGUGAUCGGCCACACUGGGACUGAGACACGGCCCAGACUCCUACGGGAGGCAGCAGUAGGGAAUCUUCCGCAAUGGACGAAAGUCUGACGGAGCAACGCCGCGUGAGUGAAGAAGGCCUUCGGGUCGUAAAACUCUGUUAUCAGGGAAGAACAAGCACCAAAGUAACUGUUGGUGCCAUGACGGUACCUGACCAGAAAGCCACGGCUAACUACGUGCCAGCAGCCGCGGUAAUACGUAGGUGGCAAGCGUUGUCCGGAAUUAUUGGGCGUAAAGCGCGCGCAGGCGGCUUCUUAAGUCUGAUGUGAAAGCCCACGGCUCAACCGUGGAGGGUCAUUGGAAACUGGGAGGCUUGAGUGCAGAAGAGGAGAGCGGAAUUCCACGUGUAGCGGUGAAAUGCGUAGAGAUGUGGAGGAACACCAGUGGCGAAGGCGGCUCUCUGGUCUGUAACUGACGCUGAGGCGCGAAAGCGUGGGUAGCGAACAGGAUUAGAUACCCUGGUAGUCCACGCCGUAAACGAUGAGUGCUAAGUGUUAGGGGGUUUCCGCCCUUUAGUGCUGCAGCAAACGCAUUAAGCACUCCGCCUGGGGAGUACGGCCGCAAGGCUGAAACUCAAAGGAAUUGACGGGGGCCCGCACAAGCGGUGGAGCAUGUGGUUWAAUUCGAAGCAACGCGAAGAACCUUACCAGGUCUUGACAUCCCAAUGACCGCUUUAGAGAUAGAGCUUUCCCUUCGGGGACAUUGGUGACAGGUGGUGCAUGGUUGUCGUCAGCUCGUGUCGUGAGAUGUUGGGUUAAGUCCCGCAACGAGCGCAACCCUUGAUCUUAGUUGCCAGCAUUGAGUUGGGCACUCUAAGGUGACUGCCGGUGACAAACCGGAGGAAGGUGGGGAUGACGUCAAAUCAUCAUGCCCCUUAUGACCUGGGCUACACACGUGCUACAAUGGAUGGUACAAAGGGCAGCGAAACCGCGAGGUGGAGCGAAUCCCAUAAAACCAUUCUCAGUUCGGAUUGCAGGCUGCAACUCGCCUGCAUGAAGCCGGAAUCGCUAGUAAUCGCGGAUCAGCAUGCCGCGGUGAAUACGUUCCCGGGCCUUGUACACACCGCCCGUCACACCACGAGAGUUUGUAACACCCGAAGUCGGUGGGGUAACCAUUUGGAGCCAGCCGCCGAAGGUGGGACAGAUGAUUGGGGUG
rnacentral:rRNA from 2 species